AAUAAAGUGCCUGAAAAAGGAUUAUUCUGAUAGGAUAAAUCAUGUAAUAUAAAAUUACCUUUAUUA
rnacentral:tRNA from 1 species